rnacentral:RNase_P_RNA from 1 species
UGCAAAUGCGUUGCGGGAGGAAAGUCCGGGCAACACGAGCCACCAUACUUCCUAACGGGAAGGCGGCAGGAAGGCAAGCGUCCUGCCGACAGCAAGUGCCACAGAAAGACAAACCGCCUCAGGGUAAGGGUGCAAGCGCGAGGUAAGAGCUCACGACAGGCGGCAGCGAUGUCGCCCGAUGGCAAACCUUAUGGGUUGAAAGACCAAAUAUACCGGCAACUAAGGGCAGGCUCGCCCGAAUGUAGGUUCGCCUACUAUUGUCGGAGGGUAGGUUGAUAGAGGCCGGCGGCGACGUCGGCAGUAGAUUGAUGAUAGAGGCUGUCGCUCACGACAGAACAGAACCCGGCUUACAUGGUUGCC